rnacentral:lncRNA from 1 species
GAUUCAAUAUCCGCAUAUUUAUUUAUUUUUAUUGUUUUUAAAAAUAAUAAAAUAUGGCAUAUUAUACUUCCAUUUUGCAUACACUAACUGUUCUUGUGUGCUGUGUUUCUCAAACAUUGGAAGAAGAUGCAUUUUUGCCCGAUCAAGGGAAAUUUGAUUUCAGCUUUGUCGCUGACAGUCAAAACAAUGUAAGUAUUUGUUUUGUAUCUAUUAAAUACAACAGCUAACACUUCCUUGUUUAUGACAUUAGCUUAGAAGCCAUUUAUCUUGCUACUGAUUACAUAAUAAACAGCUCUUUCAUAUUUACUGAUAUAACUGUAUGGCUUCGUGAAUGUGACAGAAUAUGUGAG